rnacentral:lncRNA from 1 species
CUAAACACAUACAUGCUCACGCUAGACCUAGACGAUCAGACUAAACCAAAACAGUUUAGAUCUUAACAUAACUAUGCAUGAAAUCAGUAUAAUAUUGUGAUGUAUAAGUAAUUAAAUACCAAACCAACGUAACCUAUCAGCCUGCCUACUAAGCCUAGUAGAUCGGACAAGCUUAUAUAGACAGAUCGGACCAAACUGAGACAGUAUGCAGUCAGGCUCGAUAUAACUAUAGAAAAACAUAAAGAUCUACAAGCUUAAUAAAAUAAGUCGAUAGACUAUUUAGGAUAAUGCUGGCUAGAACUCUAGCGAUAAGCCCUCCCGAGUACUCGAUCCAAUCUGGUAAUACAAACCCAGCCAACUAGAUUGAUCAGACUAAACCGAGGCAGAAUCAAGUUGAAUAGAUUCAUAUCGAUAGACCGAAUAAAAAACUCGUGAGGACUUAAUCAAGAACCUAUUACUACUUCAAACCGAAAACAGAUCAAAGUAAUAACAAGCUUUAGAUAGGUCGUCGACCAACUAGACAGGAGAUCGAACUAAAUCGAGACAGUCCUAUUUUAGCCGAUCGACGGGUUGACAGACACGAACUACAUUACGAAACUAACAAACCUUGUGUCAAGAGCUCGCUCUUGUCGAAAGUUAACGAUGCGCCGAAGAUGUGUUAUUGAACUAAUUGUUCUUUAUACAAGCUGUAGGAUACUCUAUUUAUAUCCUAGAAAUUAACUAAACUAAACGGAUACGGAUCCGCAUUAGCAACUAACCUAUGACGCACGGACUCUAAUUAGAUGUAAAAUCCUAAACAAACUCUAAGAUACAGAUAAAUCUAAGUUACACGACUGGGAUUGGUUCUGAAUCUAUCUAUAAUCAUCCAGGCCCAAUCGGACUCCAAUUCUUGUUUGAUCCGGACUCCAUUAGUUGAACUCGAACUGUCUUCCGUUCAUACUCUCGUUUGAUUCCCCUUUUCCUGUCCGAUUCGGCCUCCAAUCGAACGUUAAUCCUAAACGGCCAUUUGCCAAAACCUGACGUUAACAUAUCUCAAAUCUAGUUUUAUGAUAACUUCACCACUAAACCUAUACUUUUAUUAUAGGAGAUCUUAAAUUUAUAGUGUUGUGAUAAAUUUGAUGCUAAGUUCAUAUUUUUGUGAUGCACAUAAAUAGUUUAGUCAAAUAUCUGUAGUUUGUGAAAUUUACUCUUAGAAUAAAUAAAUAUAGGACUAAUUGUUGAACCUACAAUAUAACUAAUAUAACUACGAGGUAAGUCUCAAAAUAGAUAUAGGAGAACUAAUUUUAUAAAUAAUUUGACCUUUUUUUAAUAAAUAUGGCAUCAUAGAUAUAGCCAUGCUACACAAACUUUUUAUAAUUUGACCCUUCUCAAAAAUUUAUUUGGACAAUAGACCCUAUGAAACUUAUUUCAAAAAUGGAUCGUGAACACCCUGAAUCCCUGGUACACAAGUAAACACCAUUGUGUUUGGCACUGAGUUCCCUGUCCAUCUUAAAAUAUGCUUGUCUCUAUUGUCCAAAUAAGUUUUUAACAAAGGUCAAUUUGUAAAUGUUUUACUAGGCAAUAUGGCACACCAUUUUAGGGGGUGUUUGGUUUCCUGUAUCCGUCGAGAGCCUAGCUCACUGCACGCAAGAAUGCAACGUUUGGUUUCAUGCAUGCUUAGCUGAGUCGGUUCGUGCUUAGCUCAUGCAUAAUGGCA